rnacentral:rRNA from 1 species
GACGAACGCUGGCGGCGUGCUUAACACAUGCAAGUCGAGCGAUGAAGUUCCUUCGGGAAUGGAUUAGCGGCGGACGGGUGAGUAACACGUGGGUAACCUGCCUCAUAGAGGGGAAUAGCCUUUCGAAAGGAAGAUUAAUACCGCAUAAGAUUGUAGUAUCGCAUGAUACAGCAAUUAAAGGAGUAAUCCGCUAUGAGAUGGACCCGCGUCGCAUUAGCUAGUUGGUGAGGUAACGGCUCACCAAGGCGACGAUGCGUAGCCGACCUGAGAGGGUGAUCGGCCACAUUGGGACUGAGACACGGCCCAGACUCCUACGGGAGGCAGCAGUGGGGAAUAUUGCACAAUGGGGGAAACCCUGAUGCAGCAACGCCGCGUGAGUGAUGACGGUCUUCGGAUCGUAAAACUCUGUCUUCAGGGACGAUAAUGACGGUACCUGAGGAGGAAGCCACGGCUAACUACGUGCCAGCCGCCGCGGUAA